UGAAAUAUAGCCAAGAGGUAAGGCACUCGUUUUUGAUACGAGUUAGCAAAGGUUCGAAUCCUUUUAUUUCAA
rnacentral:tRNA from 1 species